rnacentral:rRNA from 1 species
AGAUGCUCAUUGGGUUUAAAGUGUGCGCAGGCGGUUCGGAAAGAAAGAUGUGAAAUCCCAGAGCUUAACUUUGGAACUGCAUUUUUAACUACCGAGCUAGAGUGUGUCAGAGGGGGGUGGAAUUCCGCGUGUAGCAGUGAAAUGCGUAGAUAUGCGGAGGAACACCGAUGGCGAAGGCAGCCCCCUGGGAUAACACUGACGCUCAUGCACGAAAGCGUGGGGAGCAAACAGGAUUAGAUACCCUGGUAGUCCACGCCCUAAACGAUGUCAACUAGCUGUUGGGGCCUUCGGGCCUUGGUAGCGCAGCUAACGCGUGAAGUUGACCGCCUGGGGAGUACGGUCGCAAGAUUAAAACUUAAAGGAAUUGACGG